rnacentral:rRNA from 1 species
CAAUAGCGUAUAUUAAAGUUGUUGCAGUUAAAAAGCUCGUAGUUGGAUUUCUGGUGGGAGCGAUCGGUCUGGCGCUUAGCGCGAGUACUUGCAUCGUCUCCGGCCAUCCUUGGGGAGAGUCUGUCUGGCAUUAGGUUGUCGGGCAGAGGAUCCUCAUCGUUUACUGUGAAAAAAUUGGAGUGUUCAAAGCAGGCUUAUGCCGUUGAAUAUAUUAGCAUGGAAUAAUAAGAUAGGACUUUGGUACUAUUUUGUUGGUUUGCGCACCAAAGUAAUGAUUAAUAGGGACAGUUGGGGGUAUUCGUAUUCCGUUGUCAGAGGUGAAAUUCUUGGAUUUACGGAAGACGAACUACUGCGAAAGCAUUUACCAAGGAUGUUUUCAUUAA